AGCAGGAAGACGAGAAGUACAAGGCGGCUGUCGCUCGUUGCUCUUCGUUCCUCGCGACAAAUGACGACUUUUUGGCUGAAUUCUCGACUGAUCGGAGACUUUAGCAAGUGAAGAGAUGGGCAGCUCAACAGUGAAACAUGAUCAUCUUUCUCUAUCAUCAGCAACCACAAGGGACUGAAUAUUGGAAGGCUCUUGUCUUUGAUAAACGGCGGUGUUCAGAAAAAAGGAAAGCCUACUUGAGCUCUUCUUGGAACUGAUGUGUAUGUAUCAAGCCUCUCCUCUGCUACUCCUCUGUGACAUACACGUCUGCUUGUGGCGCGUAGGCGAGUAUGAAGCGUAGGAUGUCCUGGUGGAGUUGCUCCAGGGCUCUGUCCCUCCGAAGCAGGCUGUCUGCAUCUGCCAGCUCGCCAGGAAACACAGCGUCGGGUGGGAUAACGAGCACGGCAGUCCCUUUUCAUGACUCGGUUAUGUAGUUGUCGCGGAGAACAUAAAGCUGUGAUGUUAAAUUUUUUAAAAACUUACCAUGCUUGAGAGUGACAGAGUUCUCACAAAGGAGCACUGCAAUCACUGCAUCUUCCUCAAGAAUUUGCCGUCUCAGGCUUAAUUUGCAAUGGGCCUCUGCUAAAGAGAUCCUGUUUCAACAAACAUGAAAAGGAUCACUCGUAAUAAUCAAGUGCAGUUUUUUAACGACUCGAAUGCUGAUUUAAAGGUAGUAAAUGAAGCAGAACACUCCUGAUUUGACUCCCUCAUAUAUUUCCAAUGGUUUGAUGCAGAUGUCACUAGCUACAUGACAAGUCUGCUUUGUGGCUUACUAGGGACGACAACGCCACUAGGUGGAUGAUAAGGGAACUGCAAGUGCAUAUAUUUCAUAUAUGGCGGAAUACACAGACAAGGCUGAAAAAGCAGUUUCUGCUCUAACACUCCUCUAUAAAAUAAACUAUUUUAAGCCAAAAGAACUGUGGUGUCUGAUAGAACGAUCUGUAAAAAAGUCACGGAUAUCUACCUCAUAACUUAUCACGUAAUUGUAUUUUUUCGUUACUGUCGCAUUUUCCCCACUAUUGUAGAUAAUCGAUCCAAACAAAAAUUGAAAAAAGUUUAAAAGGGUAAAUAUCUGAAAAUCUCGAUUACUCCUUGACGUCUGCAAUUUCUACAAGGUGCCCCUUGUUAUAUUACUAUGUUUCACCCAUAAAAUCCCAAAAAAAUCCAGCUGUGGCCAUUCACAUCUGUCCUGACAAUGACACAUGCUAUAUGGAGUUUUUGGAUCUCAUUAAAAUCGGGGCGUCUUUAAUUCUGCUCUCGCGUUCUCUCACCUCCAGUUAGGAUUUUGCCGUUUAAAAAAAUAUUAGGGCUGUCAACCGAUUAAAAAUUUUAAUCGAGUUAAUUACAGCUUAAACAUUAAUUAAUCGUAAUUAAUUGCAAUUCAAACCAUCUCUAAAAUAUGCCAUAUUUUUAUGUAAAUUAUUGUUGGAAUGGAAAGAUAAGACACACGACGGAUAUACACAUACAACAUACUGUACAUCAGUACUGUAUUUAUUGUAACAAUAAAUCCACAAAUGGCAUUAUUAACAUUCUUUCUGUUAGUGAUCCACGGAUAGAAAGACUUGUAGUUCUUAAACGAUAAAUGUUAUAGUUACAAGUUAUAGUAAUUCUUCAUGUUUUCGUUUUAAUAAAAUUUGUAAAGUUUUCAAUCAAAAGUAGAGUUAAUAUAAUAGUAAUAAGAAUAAAAAUAACAAUAAUAAACAGAGUGAAAAGUUUUACGUGUAUUUUGCAUAGCUAUUUUGAUAUGGAAUGCCAGUUCAUUUUGCAUUGUUGUUUAACUGUGUGUCAGAAUAGGGCCUCAUUACUAUAGACUGAAGUGCUUUCCUUUUUGUGAACUUUUUUUUUUUUUUUUGAGAGAUAGGAAUAUUAUUUUUGUUGUGCUUUCACUAAACGAUACUUAUGUUUGUUGUGAAGGAGAAGCUUAUGCCAAUAAACAGCGUGGUCCAAAGAACGCCUGUGUCCACUCGCCUUUACUGUAUAACAUAUCUGUACAUAUCUUACCCAAAAUAAAACAAGAGACACAUAAUUGCCACUAAAAGAAAGAAAACUUACCGAAAUAUGUGUGGAGCACAAAUAGCAAUUUGCAUUGCAUUGUGAAUACAGCAUAAACGUCUCACAACUACUAAUUCUCCCACGUUUAGAGGACAUAACAUGAGUAUGGAACGGCGCUGCCCCCAAGCGGCCGGUGGCAUUCUCUUCACUCUUAAUGUCCACAAACGGCCUCAUUGUGAUGUUUGAGGCAAUAUGCCAGCGGGUCAUUCAUUGCAUGCGUUAAUUGCAUCAAAUAUUUUAACGUGAUUAAUUUUAAAAAUUAACGCCCGUUAACGCGAUAAUUUUGACAGCCCUAAAAAAAAAAUAUAUUUUUUAAAUGCCCUCCUGGUCAAAAAUUUUUCCUCAGAAAAUUGACAUUUUAAGCUUUCCAAUGAUGUAUCACACGUGCAAAUCGGACAAUUUUGAACGGACAAUUUAGAAAUUUGGCCAAAUUGGGGGUUUCAGUGCGGAACUUCAAGUCACCCAAGUGUUUUCCGCCAUUUACAUUUGGUAUAGUCGAAAGCUUACAGCAAUUUGAUGGAAGCUGCAGACAUCUUGCUGCUAUGGCUUUGUGAGCGGACUGCACGGCUGGCCAUGUAAUACCCAUGUAUUAUCAUCUGUGCGCUGGCACUUAAAUCUACUUGAAGGUUUUGUGCAUAUGCCACCAACUGCAAGGAAAUAUGGAUAAAAAAACAUUUUAAAAAAAAAACAUUAUGGUUAGAACGUUUUCACACCUCCUCGUAGUCUUCACUGCCGAUGUCCAGCGAGGAUGGGUAAAGGUGUUCCCCGGGUUGUAUUGCCUGCUGAAGGGUAUGCACAGACUGU